ACGCAUGCGCGCAGGAGGCCGGCGCGCGGCCCCAACAGCCCGCGGGAAGCUAGCGGAGGAACUCGGUGCACUUCUGAGGUGCUGGACUUGCGAGACGAUGGAGCCGCUGAAGGUGGAAAAGUUCACGACCGCCGACAGAGGAAACGGGCUGCGCGCCGUCGCCCCUCUGCGUCCCGGAGAGCUGCUCUUCCGUUCGGAUCCCUUGGCGUACACGGUCAGCAAGGGUAGUCGUGGCGUCGUCUGUGACCACUGCCUGCUCGGGAAGGAAAAACUGAUGCGAUGCUCUCAGUGCCGAGUUGCCAAAUACUGUAGUGCUAAGUGUCAGAAAAAAGCUUGGCAGGACCACAAGCAGGAAUGCAAAUGCCUUAAAAGUUGCAAACCCAGAUAUCCUCCUGACUCUGUGCGACUUCUUGGCAGAGUUGUCAUCAAGCUUAUGGAAAAGACACCCUCUGAGUCAGAGAAACUUUACUCAUUUUAUGAUCUGGAAUCAAAUAUUAACAAACUGACUGAAGAUAAGAAAGAGGGCCUCAGGCAGCUUGCAAUGACAUUUCAACAUUUCAUGAGAGAAGAAAUACAGGAUGCUUCUCAGCUGCCACCUUCUUUUGACAUUUUUGAAGCCUUUGCAAAAUGUGUUGAACCAAGGAUCUUGUGCAUACUAGGCAGAUGUUCUUCCACUGAACUACAUCCCAAGACCCAUAAUACCUUCUUGGUGAUCUGCAACUCUUUCACCAUCUGUAAUGCAGAGAUGCAGGAAGUUGGUGUUGGCCUAUACCCCAGUAUGUCCUUGCUCAACCACAGCUGUGAUCCCAACUGCUCCAUUGUGUUCAACGGGCCCCACCUCCUGCUGCGCGCUGUUCGAGACAUCGAGGUGGGAGAGGAGCUUACUAUCUGUUACCUGGAUAUGCUGAUGACCAGUGAGGAGCGCCGGAAGCAGCUGAGGGACCAGUACUGCUUUGAGUGUGACUGUUUCCGGUGCCAAACUCAAGACAAGGAUGCAGAUAUGCUAACUGGUGAUGAGCAAGUAUGGAAAGGAGUGCAAGAAUCUCUGAAAAAAAUUGAAGAACUGAAGACACAUUGGAAGUGGGAGCAGGUUCUGGCCAUGUGCCAGUCGAUCAUAAGCAGCAACUCUGAACGGCUUCCUGAUAUCAACAUCUACCAGCUGAAGGUGCUUGACUGCGCCAUGGAUGCCUGCAUCAACCUCGGCCUGCUGGAGGAGGCACUGUUCUACGGCAUUCGGACCAUGGAGCCCUACAGGAUUUUUUUCCCAGGAAGCCAUCCGGUCAGAGGUGUGCAAGUAAUGAAAGUUGGCAAACUGCAGUUACACCAAGGCAUGUUUCCCCAAGCAAUGAAGAACCUGCGGCUGGCUUUUGUUUGUCACUAAUUUGACUUCUUGAACCUCAUGGACCACUGGCCGCAUCCAGGCUGUCUUGUCAAUGAGCUCCCAGCUUCUGUCUGAGCUCAGCAUGCUCCAGGUUCCAUCACCCCGACCUCAGCAUUGCUGCUUUGUUAGGGGAACUUUGUUAGCCGAGGCUUUUGAUAUUAUGCGAGUGACACAUGGCAGGGAACACAGCCUGAUUGAAGAUUUAAUUCUACUCCUAGAAGAUUGCGACGCCAACAUAAGGGCAUCCUGAGAAAGCAGGUGGAGAGAGAGCUGGCCCACACCUUUACUGAACACCUCACCAGGGUCACAGUCUGCAGCUCGCUGUGUGAAUCGUCCCUAUUGAAAGCGCUGUUCUGUGUUUGACUAGGUAAAUAAAGGCAGGCAUAGUUUGCCAACUCUAAGCAUCAUUUGUCAUAGUGAAGCACAAUUAUAAUAAAUAUGGAAAAAGUUGAA